AAGACUAUAGACCUGCGGAGUACCUGCGGAGGGAUCAUUACAUGGCGGAGAAGGUGGGCAACCUGGCCAACAUCCAGGUUGUGAUGCCUUCACGCUCUUCCACCCUUGUCUAUUUGCACCUUCUGUCGUUCCCUCGGCGGGUUUCGACCCGCCGGCGGCAACAUUGAAAAACCCUUUUUGCAGUUAGCAUUCAAUUCUUCUGAUCAAAAUAUCAAAUCGUUACAACUUUUAACAAUGGAU
rnacentral:misc_RNA from 1 species